rnacentral:rRNA from 1 species
AAUUCGAUUAGUUUGAUCAUGGCUCAGGACGAACGCUGGCGGCGCGCUUAAUACAUGCAAGUCGAGCGAGAACCAGCCCUUCGGGGCUGGGGAAAGCGGCGAACGGGUGAGUAACACGUGGGUAAUCUGCCCUCGGCACCGGGAUAGCCCGGGGAAACCCGGAUUAAUACCGGAUAGCCUCUCGAGCUCUCGAGCUCGCGAGAAAAGGUAGCUUUGGCCUCUGGCCGAGGAGGAGCCCGCGGCGGAUUAGCUUGUUGGUGAGGUAACGGCCCACCAAGGCGACGAUCCGUAGCUGGUCUGAGAGGACGAUCAGCCACACUGGGACUGAGACACGGCCCAGACUCCUACGGGAGGCAGCAGUAGGGAAUCUUGCGCAAUGGGCGGAAGCCUGACGCAGCGACGCCGCGUGCGGGAAGAAGGCCUUCGGGUUGUAAACCGCUUUCAGGAGGGACGAAGCCACUCGGGUUAAUAGCCCAGAGGGUGACGGUACCUCCAGAAGAAGCCCCGGCUAACUACGUGCCAGCAGCCGCGGUAAUACGUAGGGGGCAAGCGUUGUCCGGAUUUAUUGGGCGUAAAGCGCGUGUAGGCGGCCAGGUAGGUCCGUUGUGAAAACUCGAGGCUCAACCUCGAGACGUCGACGGAAACCAUCUGGCUAGAGUCCGGAAGA